GACGAACGCUAGCGGCGUGCCUAAUACAUGCAAGUAGAACGCUGAAGGAGGAGCUUGCUUCUCUGGAUGAGUUGCGAACGGGUGAGUAACGCGUAGGUAACCUGCCUGGUAGCGGGGGAUAACUAUUGGAAACGAUAGCUAAUACCGCAUAAUAGUAGAUGUUGCAUGACAUUUGCUUAAAAGGUGCAAUUGCAUCACUACCAGAUGGACCUGCGUUGUAUUAGCUAGUUGGUGGGUAACGGCUCACCAAGGCGACGAUACAUAGCCGACCUGAGAGGGUGAUCGGCCACACUGGGACUGAGACACGGCCCAGACUCCUACGGGAGGCAGCAGUAGGGAAUCUUCGGCAAUGGACGGAAGUCUGACCGAGCAACGCCGCGUGAGUGAAGAAGGUUUUCGGAUCGUAAAGCUCUGUUGUAAGAGAAGAACGAGUGUGAGAGUGGAAAGUUCACACUGUGACGGUAUCUUACCAGAAAGGGACGGCUAACUACGUG
rnacentral:rRNA from 1 species